rnacentral:lncRNA from 1 species
UUAGUUUUUGAAGACUUGAAUUAUUGGUGGUCGAAAUUAAAUUGUCACAUUGAUAAGUUAUUUUUGGAUCAUAUUGAUUCCACAUCUAUGGAUAUAUUUCAGCUUAUGAAUUUGAAAUGGUCGCCGGAGAGCGAGGGUGGUGAGUCGGGCAGGGGAUGACGGCAACCGUUGUUUGUGUGUUGGGGGUGCGCUUAAUAGAAAUAUAGAGGGAGGGAGCGGGGUUCGGCGUUAGAAAGGGUGGCGGUGGCGGCUUGUCGCCGCUGAACCGUCGAAGUUUCAGAUGGAGGAAGGGUGACGACAUGGCUCAUCUAGGAAGAGGGAG